rnacentral:rRNA from 1 species
AGGAGCUUGCUCCUCAUGAGAGUGGCGCACGGGUGCGUAACACGUAUGUAACCUACCUUUAUCAGGGGGAUAGCCUCUCGAAAGAGAGAUUAAGCCCGCAUAAAAUCACAGUACAGCAUUGUACAAUGAUCAAAUAUUUAUAGGAUAAAGAUGGGCAUGCGGAACAUUAGCUAGUUGGUAAGGUAACGGCUUACCAAGGCUACGAUGUUUAGGGGAUCUGAGAGGAUGACCCCCCACACUGGUACUGAGACACGGACCAGACUCCUACGGGAGGCAGCAGUAAGGAAUAUUGGUCAAUGGGCGGAAGCCUGAACCAGCCAUGCCGCGUGCAGGAAGACGGCCCUACGGGUUGUAAACUGCUUUUAUACGGGAAUAAACCUUCGUAUGUAUACGAAGCUGAAUGUACUGUAAGAAUAAGGAUCGGCUAACUCCGUGCCAGCAGCCGCGGUAAUACGGAGGAUCCAAGCGUUAUCCGGAUUUAUUGGGUUUAAAGGGUGCGUAGGCGGCCUGUUAAGUCAGGGGUGAAAGACGGUAGCUUAACUAUCGCAGUGCCCUUGAUACUGAUGGGCUUGAAUGUACUAGAAGUAGGCGGAAUGUGACAAGUAGCGGUGAAAUGCAUAGAUAUGUCACAGAACACCGAUUGCGAAGGCAGCUUACUAUGGUAUGAUUGACGCUGAGGCACGAAAGCGUGGGGAUCAAACAGGAUUAGAUACCCUGGUAGUCCACGCCCUAAACGAUGAACACUCGAUGUUGGCGAUAUACGGUCAGCGUCUAAGCGAAAGCGUUAAGUGUUCCACCUGGGGAGUACGCCCGCAAGGGUGAAACUC